AUCAUUUUCUUCAUAUUUUCACUUCACUGUCCCUUCAUUAAACUUUGGUGGGUCUAGAUCAAACAAACACCAACAUGAGUUAAAGCCAAUUCAUUCACGGCCUUUUAGAUGGGGUAGUAAAGGUUUGAAACAGGAAGAUGAACACUCAGUUAGAUAUCAUGAAUGCAACACAGUUUCUGAGGAUGAGAACUUAAAAAAUU
rnacentral:misc_RNA from 1 species